CAGGACGAACGCUGGCGGCGUGCUUAACACAUGCAAGUCGAGCGAAGCACUUCAGGUAGCUUGCUACCUGAUUUGACUGAGCGGCGAACGGGUGAGUAACACGUGGGUGAUCUGCCUGAAAGCCUGGGAUAACAGCUGGAAACGGCUGCUAAUACCGGAUGAAGUCUAUCAUUCGUUUGAUGGACCAAAGAAUUUCGCUUUCAGAUGAGCCCGCGUCCCAUUAGCUAGUUGGUGGGGUAAAGGCCUACCAAGGCGACGAUGGGUAGCCGGUCUGAGAGGAUGGUCGGCCACACUGGAACUGAGACACGGUCCAGACUCCUACGGGAGGCAGCAGUGGGGAAUUUUGCGCAAUGGGCGAAAGCCUGACGCAGCGACGCCGCGUGAGUGAUGAAGGCCUUCGGGUUGUAAAGCUCUGUCGAGGGGGAAGAUAAUGACGGUACCCCUCAAGAAAGCCCCGGCUAACUACGUGCCAGCAGCCGCGGUAA
rnacentral:rRNA from 1 species